rnacentral:ncRNA from 1 species
AUAAAGUUUUAUUCUUGCUUAUUUAUUUAUUAUAACAAUGCUGUAUAUGUAAGUUUUUGCAUAAUUUUUUGUUUAAUAUUACCUUAAUGGUAUUGAAUUUUAUUUUAUUUCGCAGUAUUGAAUUUUAUAUAUUGAAGAAAUUUUGAUUUAUUAAUUGUUAAUAAGUGUUGAUUAAAUAUGUGCCAGCAGUCGCGGUUAUACAUAAAACAUAAAUAAAUAUGUUUAGUUAAAACAGUUAAUUUGUAUUUAUGAAUUUUUAUUAGUUAUUAUUGGGUGAAAUAUUUAAUGUUUAUUAUGUAUUUAUUUUUUUUGUGUUGAGGCUGUGAAAUCUAAUUUAUUUAAACUAGGAUUAGAUACCCUAUUAUUUUAGAUGUAAAUUAUUAUAAACUUGAGUAGUAUUAGUUAUGAUCUUGAAACUUAAAGAAUUUGGCGGUAUUUUAGUCUAUUUAGAGGAAUCUGUCCCAUAAUCGAUAAUCCGCGUUGGACCUUUCUUAAUUUAUUUAAUAUGUAUACCGCCGUUGAUAAAAAUCUUUUUAGGGUAUGUGAUUUUUUUGAUAUUUAUUAUAUAAUCUUUCAGGUCAAGGUGCAGUUUAUAAUUAAGAGGUGAUGGAUUACAAUAUUUAUAUAUAUACGAAUUAUUAAUUGAAAUUUAUUAAUAUGAAGGUGGAUUUAAUAGUAAUAUUAUGUAGAUUAUUAAUAUGAUUAAAGCUCUAAAAUAUGCACACAUCGCCCGUCGCUCUCAUUAUUUUUAGGUGAGAUAAGUCGUAACAUAGUAGUUGUACCGGAAGGUGUAGCUAGAAUGAU